AGUUUCUACCAAUAACUUAUAUAUAUACAACCACUUUUAAGCGCUGGGGUUUCAAUCCCAUCUGCCUAGACACCAAGGACCCAAGGAAAAGGGAAACGAGAUAAAAGUCAGCCCUGUCUGUAUAAGUCAGCUGGCUAGCAGCUCCUAUCUAUGCAGGGCAGGGGUUCACCCCUCGUGUGAUGCGAUUCGAGUCAUAUCAAUCUUCCAGUGUAUGUAUUUUUUCGGUCUCGGUUUCUGCUUCUGCCUAUGCCUCUGCCAAUACAAUCCCGAUGUUGUUAUCUGGUUGGCUCAAGAACCAUGUCGUCUUUCAUACCUAGACACACCUAGAAUCAGCGCGUAAAAGUCGAGGGUGCCGCACGCCGAGGGUGGUGGUGUGUGUGUUUCCCAUUUGCCACAUUCUCAUAUCGACUGAAUGUAGUACGUAGAUGGUUUGGAAUUAAACCUGGAAUAUGAGGAAGACAGAAGAAAUGAAGGUGUUACCCCCACUAUCUACGCAUACAUAACGGGUAUACAUUGUGUGCUGCAUCGGCAUAUACAAGCGAGAGAGAGACAGAGAAAAAAAAAAAAACCAAAAACAGGGAGGAUAUGCCAAACCCACUGUCCAUUUGAAAUCAGAGGUCAAAAAAGGUGGAGCGGGUUCGGCUCGCCGAAGUGCGAGGCUGAUAGACAUUAACUACCUAAUUAGGCGCUUUGUCGUGUCGAUAUGUUAUUUAAUUCUCCGGCCAA
rnacentral:lncRNA from 1 species